UACGAAGGGGGCUAGCGUUGUUCGGAAUUACUGGGCGUAAAGCGCGCGCAGGUGGUCUUUCAAGUCAGUGGUGAAAGCCCGGAGCUCAACUCCGGAAAUGCCAUUGAAACUGUAAGACUUGAGGAUGAGAGAGGUGAGUGGAAUUCCCAGUGUAGAGGUGAAAUUCGUAGAUAUUGGGAAGAACACCGGUGGCGAAGGCGGCUCUCUGGGACGGUACUGACGCUGAGACGCGAAAGCGUGGGGAGCGAACAGG
rnacentral:rRNA from 1 species